rnacentral:rRNA from 1 species
UAUCACCUAGAGAUGAGUCCAUGUCCCAUCAGGUUGUUGGUGAGGUAACGGCCCACCAAGCCUAAGACGGGUAGCCGGCCUUAGCGGGUGAUCGGCCACACGGGGACUGAGACACGGCCCCGACUCCUACGGGAGGCAGCAGUGGGGAAUAUUGGACAAUGGGCGCAAGCCUGAUCCAGCAAUACCGCGUGAGGGAUGAAGGCCCUAGGGUCGUAAACCUCUGUCAGUUGGAACGAUGGGUUUGUAGGUUAAUACCCUGCAAACUUGACGGUACCUUCAAAGGAAGCCCCGGCUAACUCCGUGCCAGCAGCCGCGGUAAUACGGAGGGGGCAAGCGUUGCUCGGAAUUACUGGGCGUAAAGGGUCCGUAGGUGGCUUUGUAAGUUAGAUGUGAAAUCUCAGGGCUCAAC